UAAAUAUAUAUAUAUAUAUAUUUUUUAAAAGAAUUUAAAGGUUGCGGAUCCUUCAACCGUACGCACGAGAGCCCUCUUCCGAUUUGGAAUUACAGAUUUUUUUUCUCUCUUCAUGCUUCCUUUCCUUCACGCAUGCAGGUCCCAUGUCACAUCUCCGUCCAGUCAUCGGCACUCACCACUGUCCCGAUUCAUCACCGAUCGUGCGCGACGUCUCUGUUCACUGCCUCCCGCCGGUAAUUUUUGGUUCCUCUCUCUCUAGCGAGCCCUCAUGCUGUCGCGAGUUCUGCCGUCUACCAGCAGCCGUGCCACCCACGUUCGCUCGUCGUUGCUCAAUUGCCAGACUCCAUCGCACGUCGUUCUCGGUGUUGUUGCCGGUGCCCUUGCUGCCACAAUCGAGUAUCACCGCUGUCGAUUUACAUUGUUGGUACUGAAAGCCUUAACGUAGCUGCCGCCGUUGAGCCCUGUCGGCGUUGCCCUUUCCGUCGAGCCGAUUCGACAGCUCCAGCCCUAGAUCUCGCGUUUGCGUCGUCUUCAUCUAUAGAUUUUACACUUUUGCAACAUAGCUUCUUUGAGCUUAUUCCGAACAAAGCUAAAGGCACAAGAGGUCCAGUAAGCCUUCUUUUUGUAAUUUUGAAAAUUCUAUCUCUUCUUCACUUACUAAUUAUGCAUAAAGAGUUCACUUUUUUUUUUCAAGUUCAAGAUGCAAUAUAUAAGACUUUGUUGUUUGCAUGAGCCUGAUUCAGAUUUCAAGUUUAUUCAAAUGAAAAAUGAAAAGUUUUGCUCUCCUAUUCCCUUUACAUACUUGUUGAUUUGAAAAGGAUUGCGCUUCUUAAUUACAAGUAUGUUAUUUUCAAAUUGUGACUAUUAUUCAUUGUACAUGUUGCACUCCAGGUUUAUUUUACAACCCAAGGAUAGUUAUGUUUUGACUAUUAUUCUUCAUGUUAACUCGCCGAAUGAUUUAGACACAAGAAAGAGAUGGUUAAAACUAAAGCUUGUCUGGGGUGGAUUACAAGUUGCAUAUGACGGUCCUGAUGAUCCUAACUUUUUUAUUUUUUUUCAAAUUAGUAUAAUUGAUGGGUAAAAAACGUCAACAAAAGUGUAUAGAUGAUGCUUAGAAACCAUCAAUAAAAAAACAUUUUUUUAACAGACAAUAAAAUAGUUUUGACAUAAAAAAAUAUAAUUUUUUUUUUUUUAAUGUUCUUAAAAAAUAGUUGAGGGACAAAAAAUAUCAAAUAUUACCUAACUUUGACGUCCGAAAAGUAUCAACAAAAGGGUUUUUCUUGGCUGCCUUUUUCAUGUAGAUGGGCAAAAAACAUCCAAGUACCCUUUCUUGAUGACCACAAAGAUCAAGAAAGGGUUUCUGGUGACGUUUUUUUGCUGUCAAGAAAACUGAUUUUCUUGAUGGUUAGACUUUCUUGAUGCUUUCUUUAUGUUGGCUUUCUUGACUUUUUUGGUCAUCAAAGUGGAUAUUUUUUUGACAUUUUUAUCCAGCACCAAAGGUCAAAUUUGUAGUAGUGGAUCUCGUAGAAUGCGUAGUAUCAUUUAUAGAAGGACCGCACCCAACAUCCUCGAUAAUAGUCUCCUCCCCAUCACCUCCACCAUUACCAUUAAGAUCACUAUCUGUGGGUGCAUUAACUUUAGAAUUACGAACUCUCAUUCUGCUAGUAUACUGUUGUGUAAUACCUGAAGCCCAUGAAUUAGUAUCAUCAUUUCCCAUAUAGACCACGGAAGGGAAAAGGUUUGACUCACAAAUAGUAUGUUGUUUUGUCUGUUGUUGUGUCUACUCACAAAUAGUGUGUUGUUUUAUCUGUUGUUCUAUUUGCUUUUUCGUCAGUUGUUCUAUCUGUUGUUCUGUCUGGAAUUCAUCUACGUUUUGUCUUUAUGGUUCCUCUACAAUGACAAAAAUUUGAGGUCUAUUGCAAUCUAACUAAGCCUACAGAAAUCUAAUGUCAUCGUUGUCGUUUAGGCAUACCACAAAUCCAUACAAAUUCAGCUUAUACUGAACCCUCAUUACAACGUUGAAUUAUGAUGAAUCGACCCUUACUACUUUGUAUAUGUGGUCUUUCAGUUCUUGGUACCUCAAUGUACUUGGCACUAGGAUGUCCUUCGACACACCUUCACCAUAACACUGUUUGUUGUCAACCCAUGUCACACCAUGUCGAAUGAACAAUUGCUUCUCAUCCAUCCUUUAAAAUAGUAAACAAAAAAAGACAAUUAAAAAUUUGAAAAUUUUGUUAAAAUCUCGAUACACACUCUCGUUUCUCGCUUCUCGAUACACACUCGCUCCUCGCUCAUCACUACAAACUCUUGUUUCUUGUGCCUCGAUACAAAAUCUUAUGGGGUUUUCACAAAAUUGAGAUAUGAGGUUUGUGAGGUUCUCUUUGGUUUGCUUUGUUUGGUGUUUGAUUUGGAAACUUGAUAACAAUUUACUCAAUUUACUCAAAUUGACUUGAAAGGAAUGAAUGAAUUGUCAGAUUGAUUGACUUGCAAUGCACAUUAGUUACCAAAAAACAUGCUGGCGAGCAAUGAGAGGGCGAGCCAAGAAGGGAUAUGAGAAGUGAGAGUGAGGAACGUAUAAAAGGUCAAAAUAUUUGACCGAUGUGGAUCGAGAGCGAGAAACGAGUGGAAGAUGUGAGGGGCAUAUCGAUAUCUUUUCUAUAGGCAAUAUGGUAAAUUCACAUGCCACUUAUGGCAAUAAGAUAUUAUAUCAUUAAAAUUUUAAAAAGAGGCCAAACUUCAAUUGGACUCUUGAUUUUUAGGGCAUCCAUUCAAAAUUUCCCUUCAAUAGAAACAGCUAUGUCCUUUCUUUAUAACUUUAAAAUCUAAAAAUCAUUUAGAAUCAAAAAAUAUUUUAAUAUCAAAUCACUCAAUUUCUUUCUUUCUUUCUUUUGUGUUCACAUCUAAAGAAUUGGAACGUUUGAUAUUUUGGAAACAAAACA